UUACUACUCCCUCCGGUUCAUAUUAGUUGUCGAAAUAUUACAUGUAUCUAGACGCUUUUUAGCCAUAGAUACAUCCAUAUUUGGGCAAAUUUGAGACAAUUAAUAUGGAUUGGAGGGAGUAGUUA
rnacentral:pre_miRNA from 1 species